rnacentral:rRNA from 1 species
ACUGAAUCAAUUAUAAUAAUUGAUAACAUAAGGGAAAAUAAUGAUAUUACCUUAUUAUUAGUGUCGUCAAAAACUGGUGCCAGAAGACUCGGUAAGGCCUGAGACACAAACGUUAAUCGUCUUAAUCAGGCGUAAAGGGUUUGUAGGCGGCUUUUAAAUUAACUUAUUUAUCUUUAUUUUUUUAUUAAUAAGUUAAGAAUAAAAGCUAGAAUCAAAUAGAGGAUAUAUCAAAUAAUGCUUAGAGUAGGUCUGAUAUCCUUAGAUACUAAGUAGAAUAUUAAAGGCGAAAGCUUUUUUCCAUUAAUGAUUGACGCUCAGAAACGAAGGUGAGGAUAGGAAAUAGGAUUAGAUACCCAAAAUACUCCUCUCUGUCAACGAUGAAUGGUAGUUAUUAGUAAUAAUUUAUUAAUAGCAAUGUUAACACGAUAACCAUUCCGCCUUGUGAGUACAACUGCAAAGUUGAAAACAAAAAAAUUAGUCGGUUUCGGAGCAAACGAAGUGAAGCAUGUUAUUUAAUUCAAUAAAUUCCGCAAAA